GAUGAACGCUGACAGAAUGCUUAACACAUGCAAGUCGAUGGGGAAGUGGUGCUUGCACCAUGGUAACCAUGGCGGACGGGUGGGUAACGCGUAAGGAACUUACCUGCGGGACCGGGAUAACAGCAGGAAACUGCUGACAAGACCGGAUAAGGUCAUUAAGCUGCAUAGCUUAGUGAUGAAAGGAGACGCCUGCGGAGAGCCUUGCGUCCUAUUAGCUAGUUGGAGGGGUAACGGCCCACCAAGGCGAAGAUAGGUAGCCGGCCUGAGAGGGUGGACGGCCACAAGGGGACUGAGAUACGGCCCUUACUCCUACGGGAGGCAGCAGUGGGGAAUAUUGGACAAUGGGGGCAACCCUGAUACAGCAAUUCUGUGUGCACGAAGACGGUUUUCGGAUUGUAAAGUGCUUUCAGCAGGGAAGAAGGAGGUGACGGUACCUGCAGAAGAAGCGACGGCUAAAUACGUG
rnacentral:rRNA from 1 species